CCUUGGGUCUUUAAAGGAUCCUAUACACUCAUGAAAUAAUUGUAGCUAUGUAUUUUGUCUCUGGUAAAUGAACAUUAGCUUUUUAAAACAUAUUAAUAAUAUUGAAGGGAGUUCCUGUCAUGGCUCAGUGGUUAAUGAAUCCAACUAGAAACCAUGAGAUUUCGGGUUCGCUCCUUGGCCUCAGUCAGUGGGUUAAGGAUCCGGCAUUGCCAUGAGCUGUGGUGUAGGUUGCAGACGUGGCUUGGAUCCCAUGUUGCUGUGGCUGUGGUGUAGGCCGGCGGCUACAGCUCCAAUUGGACCUCUGGCCUGGGAACCUCCAUAUGCUGUGGGAGUGGCCCUAGAAAAGACAAAGACAAAUAAUAAUAAUAAUAUUGAACAUUUCUAAAGAAUCACCGUCUACCUCUCCCUGUAGGAAGACUGUAUAUAUAAGGGGAAAUUCCAUUAUGUUCCUAAAUGAAGGUUUUAAGAGUUCUUGUGUGGUUUUUCCAUACUAUCUUUUCCAUUUGCCCUAAGAGAAAUACCUUCAGGUAGGGAACAAAGAAAUAUGAAAGAAAUGUCAUUCUUUUUUUUCUUUUUUGCUUCCACAUGGCAUAUGGAAGUCUUCAGGUUAGGGGUCAAAUUGGAGCUACAGCUGCCGGCCUACACCACAGCUGUAGCAACUCGGAAUCUGAGCCACGUCUGUGGCCUACACCACAGCUCAUGACAACGCUGGAUCCUUAACCCACUGAGCAAGGCCAGGGAUCGAGCCGGAAUCCUCAUGGAUUCUAGUUGGAUUUGUUACCACUGAGCCACAAUGGGAACUCCCAAGAUAUAUCAUUCUUGACCCUGACUGGACUUGCAACAUGAGUGAAAAUAUAUAAUAAGUCACUGAAAUUUUUUAGGUUUUUUUCUCGUCACAGCAUUAUGUAUCCUGAGUUGACUGAUACAGACUAUCAUUGACCUUACUGUCUGUACUGAAGUUCAGAAAAUAUUUGUAUGGCCUUUGAUAUUUCUUAUAGUACUGUUUUAAAAUCUUAUUUGCCUCAAUUAUAUGUCCCUUGAGAACAACCUCAGUGUCUUUUGUUUGUUGGAUCUGCUAUGAAAACCUCAGGUCUCUAAAACAAAAUAUUUUAAAAUAUGUCAUGAUGAAUCAAUGAAUAAAUACUUAUAUUCCAUUGUAGUAACUCUGAAU
rnacentral:lncRNA from 1 species